GCAGGUGUAACUCAGAUGGUUAGAGAGAGGGGCUUAUCUUUCCCCGAGAUCGUGUCGCUGGUUCGAGUCCAGCCGCCUGCA
rnacentral:tRNA from 1 species